rnacentral:rRNA from 1 species
AACAUGUCUUUAUGAACUUAAUAUAAAGUCUGAUCUGCUCAAUGAGAAAUUAAAUAGCUGCAGUACUUUGACUGUGCAAAGGUAGCAUAAUCAAUAGUUUUUUAAUUAAAAGCUGGAAUGAAUGAUUUGAUAAGGUAGAUAUUGUCUCAAUUUUAAUAUAAUUAUAAUUUUUUUUAUUGUUAAAAUACAAUAUUGAAAUUAAAAGACGAGAAGACCCUAUAGAUUUUUAUUAUUUUAUUUUAAAAAAAUUUAAAUUAAUUAAUAAAUUUUAAUUUUAAAUAAUUAGGUUGGGGAAAUUAUUAAAUUAGUUAAAUUUUAAUAAAUUUAAAACAAAAAUUAUUGGUUAUUUGAUCUUAAAUAUAAAUAGUUAGAAUAAAUUACCUUAGGGAUAACAGCGUAAUUUUUUUGGAGAGAUCAAAUUGAUAAAAAAGUUUGCGACCUCGAUGUUGAAUUAAGAUAAAAUUUUAAUGAAGAAGUUAAAAAUUUUUGGUCUGUUCGACCAUUAAAAUCUUACGUGAUCUGA